UACGUAGGGUGCAAGCGUUGUCCGGAAUUAUUGGGCGUAAAAGAGCUCGUAGGCGGUUUGUUGCGUCGGCUGUGAAAUCCCGAGGCUCAACCUCGGGUCUGCAGUCGAUACGAGCAAACUAGAGUGUUGCAGGGGAGACUGGAAUUCCUGGUGUAGCGGUGAAAUGCGCAGAUAUCAGGAGGAACACCGGUGGCGAAGGCGGGUCUCUGGGCAACAACUGACGCUGAGGAGCGAAAGCGUGGGGAGCGAACAGG
rnacentral:rRNA from 1 species